UUACACGGUCCAUGUAGCUUAAAACAAAGCAAAGCACUGAAAAUGCUUAGAUGAGUUAGCCUUAGACUCCACAGACAUAAAGGUUUGGUCCUAGCCUUUCCAUUGGUUACUAGCAAAAUUACACAUGCAAGGAUCCCCUUACCGGUGAGAAUACCCUUUAAGUCCUAUACCGGACUAAAAGGAGUAGGUAUCAAGCACACUUAUAAGUAGCUCACUACACCUUGCUUAGCCACAUCCCCACGGAAAUACAGCAGUGAUAAGAAUUAAGCAAUAAACGAAAGUUUGACUUAGUUAUGCUAAUAUUGAGUUGGUAAAUCUCGUGCCAGCCGCCGCGGUCAUACGAUUAACUCAAAUUAAUGGAAAACCGGCGUAAAGCGUGUUUUAGAGAUAAAAGUCAAUGAGAUUAAGUUCUAUCUAGGUCGUAAAAAACUUCAGAUUGAUACAAAGCCAGUACGCGAAAGCAAUCUCAAUAAUUCUGAAUACACGACACCUAAGACUCAAACUGGGAUUAGAUACCCCACUAUGCUUAGGCGUAAACACAAAAAAUUCAUAACAAAAUUAUUCGCCAGAGAACUACUAGCAACAGCUU
rnacentral:misc_RNA from 1 species